AGACACAAGCAUGUUUACGAGCGCCAUGGGCUGAGGAAGGCGAGCCUGCAUUCAGAAGCUCUGCAGGCCCUCCAACACUUGUCUCUUCACAAUCCUCGUUUUACAAGACAGGGAGGAGACAUAUGCACAAGGUGAACACACAGGCAAAGUGAUUUAAAGUCAUAGAGGGAACAUUGACAGGGUGAAACUUGUAAAGGAAAUCCAGCAAGAGUUUUAGGAAAUGCAGCAUCAUCUCAAAUAGCAAAACUUCCUGCAAGAAAGUCAUCCUGGGGGCGCCUGGGUGGCACAGCGGUUAGGCAUCUGCCUUCGGCUCAGGGCGUGCUCCCGGCGUUCUGGGAUCGAGCCCCACAUCAGGC
rnacentral:lncRNA from 1 species